AAUACCUCAGAAUUGUCAGGGUG
rnacentral:miRNA from 1 species